AUCACCUCUCGGCCUUUUACCUAAAAGCAAGUGUAGUAUCUGGUUUUUAUCAGUGUAACAUCAGACACAUUCUGUAUCUGAGGAUAGUAUGCUAUAUGGGUCUUUGGAACAGGGAGAUGGAAUAGGAGCUUGUUCUGGUCACUCCACGUAUCGACAGGAACGGUGCACUUCCU
rnacentral:snRNA from 1 species